rnacentral:rRNA from 1 species
CCAAGAAGUCUAACGUGUGGGCGAGUCUUCGGGGACCUUGUGAACCCUAUGAAGGCGUAAUAAAAGUGAAGGUCCCGCGCGCGUCCGUCCUCGUGUCGGUUGCGUGCGCGGGGCUGCAGUGGGAUCCCCAGUCUAAGGGCUGGGGCGCACCACUGGCCCGUCCUAUGACCGCUUCGCCGGUCGGGCGGAGCAAGAGCCCACGCGUUGGGACCCGAAAGAUGGUGAACUAUGCCUGGGCAGGACGAGGCCAGAGGAAACUCUGGUGGAAGUCCGCAGCGGUUCUGACGUGCAAAUCGAUCGUCGGACCUGGGUAUAGGGGCGAAAGACUAAUCGAACCAUC